UCAGCGGCAGACGGGUGAGUAACACGUAGAUAACCUACCCUCAAGACGGGGAUAACCGGUGGAAACAGCGGCUAAUACCCGAUAGGCUCACGUGAUCGGGAGGUCAAGUGAGGAAAGGCUGCGGUGCUUGAGGAGGGGUCUGCGGCCCAUCAGCUAGUUGGUGAGGUAACGGCUCACCAAGGCGAAGACGGGUAGGGGGUGUGAGAGCACGACCCCCCACAAUGGGACUGCGACACGGNCCAUACUCCUACGGGAGGCAGCAGCAGGGAAUAUUGCGCAAUGGACGGAAGUCAGACGCAGCGACGCCGCGUGGGUGAGGAAGGCCUUCGGGCUGUAAAGCCCUUUUCUGGAGGGCGAGGCAGGACGGUACUCCAGGAAUAAGCGUCGGCUAACUACGUGCCAGCAGCCGCGGUAAGACGUAGGACGCAAGCGUUAUCCGGAUUUACUGGGCGUAAAGCGCCUGUAGGCGGCGGGAUAAGUCGGAUGUGAAAGCCCCGUGCUCAACGCGGGGAAGCCAUUCGAUACUGUCUGGCUAGAGAGCGGGAGAGGGAAACGGAAUUUCUGGUGUAGCGGUAAAAUGCGCAGAGAUCAGAAGGAACACCGAUGGCGAAGGCAGUUUCCUAGGCCGUAUCUGACGCUGAGAGGCGAAAGCUAGGGGAGCGAACAGGAUUAGAGACCCUGGUAGUCCUAGCUGUAAACGCUGGAUGCUAGGUGUGGGCCAGAGCGGUCCGUGCCGGAGUUAACGCGAUAAGCAUCCCGCCUGGGGAGUACGGCCGCAAGGCUAAAACUCAAACGAAUUGACGGGGACCCGCACAAGCAGCGGAGCGUGUGGUUUAAUUCGAUGCUACACGCAGAACCUUACCUGGGCUUGACAUGUAGGUGGUAGUGAAGUGAAAGCGGAGCGACCCUUCGGGGAGCCUACACAGGUGCUGCAUGGCUGUCGUCAGCUCGUGCCGUGAGGUGUCGGGUUAAGUCCCGUAACGAGCGCAACCCUUGUCCUUAGUUACAAGUGUCUAAGGAGACUGCCGGUGACAAACCGGAGGAAGGUGGGGAUGACGUCAAGUCAGCAUGGCCCUUA
rnacentral:rRNA from 1 species